rnacentral:tRNA from 1 species
GCCUGUGUAGCUCAGGGGUAGAGCACUUCCUUGGUAAGGAAGAGGCCAUCGGUUCAAAUCCGAUCACAGGCUCCA